GAUGAACGCUGGCGGCGUGCUUAACACAUGCAAGUCGAACGAUGAACCGGAGCUUGCUCCGGGGAUUAGUGGCGAACGGGUGAGUAACACGUGGGCAACCUGCCCCAGACACCGGGAUAACCUUCCGAAAGGAUGGCUAAUACCGGAUACGACCACUUCGGGCAUCCGACGGUGGUGGAAAGGAUUCUGGUCUGGGAUGGGCCCGCGGCCUAUCAGCUUGCUGGUGGGGUAAUGGCCUACCAAGGCGACGACGGGUAGCCGGCCUGAGAGGGCGACCGGCCACACUGGGACUGAGACACGGCCCAGACUCCUACGGGAGGCAGCAGUGGGGAAUAUUGCGCAAUGGGCGAAAGCCUGACGCAGCGACGCCGCGUGAGGGACGAAGGUCUUCGGAUUGUAAACCUCUUUCAGCAGGGACGAAGCGAAAGUGACUGUACCUGCAGAAGAAGCACCGGCUAACUACGUGCCAGCCGCCGCAGUAAUAC
rnacentral:rRNA from 1 species